rnacentral:rRNA from 1 species
AANNGUACAACUCCCACCCUUUGAGAACUUACCUUAGUUGCCUCGGCGGAAGCGUCGCCCUGGGACGGCCUACCCUGUAGUGUCCUACCCUGUGACGUCGCACCGUCAAAGGACCUUCUAAACUCUGUUUUAUUGUGGCACUUCUGAGGAUGAUUUUUAAUCAGUUAAAACUUUCAACAACGGAUCUCUUGGUUCUGGCAUCGAUGAAGAACGCAGCGAAAUGCGAUAAGUAAUGUGAAUUGCAGAAUUCAGUGAAUCAUCGAAUCUUUGAACGCACAUUGCGCCCAUUAGUAUUCUAGUGGGCAUGCCUGUUCGAGCGUCAUUUCAACCCAUCAAGCCCUAUUUGCUUGGCGUUGGGAGACCGCCGGGCUCAGUCCCGGCGCCUCCUCAAAUAAAUCGGCGGAGUCGUAGCGACCCAAGCGUAGUAAUUUUUUCCUCGCUUCAGGUGUCAAUACCGACGUCUAGCCGCUAAACCCCCUAUAUUUUUUUAGGCUUGACCUCGGAUCAGGUAGGAAUACCCGCUGAACUUAA